rnacentral:rRNA from 1 species
AGAGUUUGAUCCUGGCUCAGAUUGAACGCUGGCGGAAUGCUUUACACAUGCAAGUCGAACGGCAGCACGGGGCAACCUGGUGGCGAGUGGCGAACGGGUGAGUAAUACAUCGGAACGUGCCCAAUCGUGGGGGAUAACGUAGCGAAAGUUACGCUAAUACCGCAUACGAUCUACGGAUGAAAGCGGGGGAUCGCAAGACCUCGCGCGAAUGGAGCGGCCGAUGGCAGAUUAGGUAGUUGGUGGGGUAAAGGCUCACCAAGCCGACGAUCUGUAGCUGGUCUGAGAGGACGACCAGCCACACUGGGACUGAGACACGGCCCAGACUCCUACGGGAGGCAGCAGUGGGGAAUUUUGGACAAUGGGCGCAAGCCUGAUCCAGCCAUUCCGCGUGCAGGAUGAAGGCCUUCGGGUUGUAAACUGCUUUUGUACGGAACGAAACGGCCCUUUCUAAUACAGGGGGCUAAUGACGGUACCGUAAGAAUAAGCACCGGCUAACUACGUG